AUGUCAACAUGAGCCAAUUUGAGAUUACAAAAUAGAGCCUCUCCAUUAAUAGAACAACUAACCUUUUUCCAUGAUCACACAUUAUUAAUUCUAGUAAUAAUUACAAUUCUAGUAGGAUACUUAAUAUUUAUAUUAUUCUUUAAUAAUUACACCAAUCGAUUUUUAUUACAUGGACAAAUUAUUGAAAUAAUCUGAACAAUUCUGCCUGCCAUCAUUCUCUUAUUUAUUGCAUUCCCCUCCCUUCGACUAUUGUAUCUAUUAGAUGAAAUUAACGAACCGGCAAUCACCCUAAAAUCAAUUGGCCAUCAAUGAUAUUGAAGCUAUGAAUAUUCAGAUUUUAUUGAUUUAGAAUUUGACUCCUACAUAAUUCCAACUAAUGACCUUCCAACUGAUGGAUUCCGUCUACUGGAUGUUGAUAACCGAGUAAUCAUCCCAACAAAUACACAAAUUCGUGUAUUAGUGACUGCUGCCGACGUAAUUCACUCUUGAACUGUCCCAUCCCUUGGAGUAAAAGUGGAUGGAACCCCCGGACGAUUAAACCAAACCAAUUUUAUAAUUAGACGCCCUGGCCUAUUCUUUGGACAAUGUUCAGAAAUUUGUGGGGCUAACCACAGUUUUAUGCCAAUUGUAAUUGAAAGUAUUAACACAAACCAUUUUAUCAAAUGAAUUUCU
rnacentral:rRNA from 1 species